rnacentral:misc_RNA from 1 species
GUCAGAAGCGGGAGCAAUCAAAGUGUCAUCUGCCCACAAUUUUGACUUAACCCGUGGCUGCAUGACUUGAAGAAAUUCCUCCAGUUGGGGAUCAUCUUUCUCUCUCUCCUUUUUAUUAAUCUUCCUUUCAACCUGAGCACNUAUGUUUGAAUUUCUAGAACCAUCAACUUUAUUUCCACCUUCAGUAACUUCCUGUUUUUUC